CCUGUACUAUCAGUUCUAUUGUGCUAACUGGAAUUAAUCCUAUAUAUAUUGAGCUUGAGCCCAACAAUUGGCUUUGCGAUUGUGAACUUUUGUCCUUGAUAUAUUUCGUCUCUAAGCACUCUAGGCUGUUUAUAAAUGUGCCAUAUUGCCAUACUUUUUUGGUAUACUCUUUAACGACCUAGACAGCAGUAAAAUAAAUUGUUCUACAGGUAAUGAACGUAUUACUACUACCCAAAAAACAUAUAUUUCAACCACAACUGCUGAGAAAACAAAUCAAACUACAACAGGCUGGCAAGAAGAACUUUCAACACUAACUACAAUAGGGAGUGGUAAAUACACUGGUUCUUUUACAAAUGAAUAUUCUUACAGUCCUAUACUACAGUUUAGUUGUUCCCAGGCUGUUGAUUUAAAUGAAAGUGUACGCCUUACUAACCAUUCCCAGAGAGACAUAAACACAAAUAAAGUCGAACCAAAUCAAGCAAACUAUGCCAAUGGCAUUUUUGUUUUUCAACCCCCCACCUAUGACCUCUAUUUAGAGUUAUCAGAUGAUUUUAGUCUACAAGUACGAAUUGAUAACUAUAAUGAUGCAGACCAGAUAAACAUUAUUUGGUUUACAGAACCAAUAAAGCAAUAAUCGAUAGCAAUAAAGAUGUAUUUGAUGUAGAUUACUCAUACAACUGUAUGCAGUAUUCUGGCCCGUUUUUAACCAUUGCUUCACUGCAUGGAAAUCAUACAUAUACUUUUUGUAUGAUGCCGACAGAUAACGUAGUUAUUUCCCCGCUCUUUUGUCAACCACUCUAUGUACCUAUGGUUGGAGAGAAAACUCAUAAUGCGACGGAUUCUAUUCAAAACACUAGCAAUAAUAAGCAGUUUUCGGUCGCCAUGCUGGUCUUAAUUCUUUUUGUUUCCACAAUUUUUGGAGCAAUAAUUUCAUAUCUUGGUAUCAAAGCCUACCCGGAUCUUUUAGAGGGCUCAAAGAACGUAUUAAUAAUUAAAAAAUUGGAUAAAACAUGCUAUAUAUCAACAAUAACAGAAUCCGAAUACACAAUAGAUGAAACAAAAAGAAAAUACUUUGGUGCAAAAAUUUUAAAUGAUACUCAGCAUCCUUUUUCAGAAGACACAGUUGUGGAUACUAGAAGUGUUCUAGGCAAGGUUUAUAGAGUAGACGAGUAUGAAAUGCCUAAAGAACUGGAUUUUUCAAUAAAAGAGUAUAGUGAACUCAGUUAUGGAAGUACCCUCACUAUUCCCCCACCAUUACCAAAGCGUAAUUCUAAUAAUUUAAUAUUCAAUUAAAACAAGAAAUAAUAAAAGUUCACAAUGGAUUAUUGGAUGGAUA